rnacentral:misc_RNA from 1 species
UAAUGGUGGUGGUGGCGGCGGCGGCGGCGGCAUUAAGAGACGGUGGCGUGAAAUUUUGUUGGGAGAAGUCAGGCCAACUUGGUUGCAUGUUUGGGAUUUUGGGAGGUAAUUGUGCCAUUGAGUAGCGUAUAUAAUGCACAAAUACCCUCUAAAUGACACAAGAACAAGAAAUCAAGAGCCCAAACACCAAUCUUCAAUAAAUUAAGCUUCUAUAUAUCUAUUGACACCCCCAAGUGGAUCAAUAUAAAGAAGAGAGAGAAUUGUAAAGCCCAAGAACAAUCUCCAAGAAGCUAAAGCUUCCUAUAUAUACCGUACAUUAUUAACCAAGAAUGAAAAAAAAAAAGAAACAACCCAAAUGGACACAAUCACAAUCUUCAACAAAGUUUGUUGUUCUUAAAAGAACACUAGAAAUGACAGAAGAAUAAGAGGAGGAGAAAAAACAA